rnacentral:rRNA from 1 species
AGAGUUUGAUCCUGGCUCAGGAUGAACGCUGGCGGCGUGCCUAAUACAUGCAAGUCGAACGCACAGCGAAAGGUGCUUGCACCUUUCAAGUGAGUGGCGAACGGGUGAGUAACACGUGGAUAACCUACCUCAAGGUUGGGGAUAACAUUUGGAAACAGAUGCUAAUACCGAAUAAAACUUCGUAUCGCAUGAUACAAGGUUAAAAGGCGCUACGGCGUCACCUAGAGAUGGAUCCGCGGUGCAUUAGUUAGUUGGUGGGGUAAAGGCCUACCAAGACAAUGAUGCAUAGCCGAGUUGAGAGACUGAUCGGCCACAUUGGGACUGAGACACGGCCCAAACUCCUACGGGAGGCUGCAGUAGGGAAUCUUCCACAAUGGGCGAAAGCCUGAUGGAGCAACGCCGCGUGUGUGAUGAAGGCUUUCGGGUCGUAAAGCACUGUUGUAUGGGAAGAACAGCUAGAGUAGGGAAUGACUUUAGUUUGACCGGUACCAUACCAGAAAGGGACGGCUAAAUACGUGCCAGCAGCCCGCGGUAAUACGUAUGUCCCGAGCGUUAUCCGGAUUUUAUUGGGCGUAAAGCGAGCGCAGACGGUUGAUUAAGUCUGAUGUGAAAGCCCGGAGCUCAACUCCGGAAAGGCAUUGGAAACUGGUCAACUUGAGUGCAGUAGAGGUAAGUGGAACUCCAUGUGUAGCGGUGGAAUGCGUAGAUAUAUGGAAGAACACCAGCGGCGAAGGCGGCUUACUGGACUGUAACUGACGUUGAGGCUCGAAAGUGUGGGUAGCAAACAGAAGUAGAUACCCUGGUAGUCCACACCGUAAACG